rnacentral:rRNA from 1 species
UACGUAGGGGGCAAGCGUUGUCCGGAUUUAUUGGGCGUAAAGAGCGUGUAGGCGGUUUGGUAGGUCCGUUGUGAAACUCGAGGCUGCAACCUCGAGACGCCGAUGGAAACCAUCAGACGUAGAGUCCGGAAGAGGAGAGUGGGAAUUCCUGGAUGUGAGCGGUGGAAAUGACGCAGAUAUCAGGAAGAACACCCGUGGCUAAGGCGGCUCUCGUAGUACGGUACUGACGCUGAGACGACGAAAGCGUGGGGGAGCGAAACAGG